UUACUGGGCGUAAAGCGCACGCAGGCGGUCUGUUAAGCUAGAUGUGAAAGCCCCGCGCUCAACGUGGGAGGGUCAUUUAGAACUGGCAGACUAGAGUCUUGGAGAGGGGAGUGGAAUUCCAGGUGUAGCGGUGAAAUGCGUAGAGAUCUGGAGGAACAUCAAUGGCGAAGGCAACUCCCUGGCCAAAGACUGACGCUCAUGUGCGAAAGUGUGGGUAGCGAACAGGAUUAGAUACCCUGGUAGUCCACACCGUAAACGCUGUCUACUAGCUGUUUGUGGAUUUAAUCCGUGAGUAGCGAAGCUAACGCGAUAAGUAGACCGCCUGGGGAGUACGGCCGCAAGGUUAAAACUCAAAUGAAUUGACGGGGGCCCGCACAAGCGGUGGAGCAUGUGGUUUAAUUCGAUGCAACGCGAAGAACCUUACCUACUCUUGACAUACUAGAAACUUUUCAGAGAUGAAUUGGUGCCUUCGGGAAUCUAGAUACAGGUGCUGCAUGGCU
rnacentral:rRNA from 1 species